UACGGAGGGUGCGAGCGUUGUCCGGAAUCACUGGGCGUAAAGGGCGCGUAGGUGGCCCGUGGAAGUCUGCGGUGAAAGCCCGGCGCUCAACGCCGGGUCGGCCGUGGAUACUCUCGGGCUUGAGCUCACUAGAGGCAGAUGGAAUUCCGGGUGUAGCGGUGGAAUGCGUAGAGAUCCGGAAGAACACCGGUGGCGAAGGCGGGUCUCUGGGCCGAUACUGACGCUGAGGAGCGAAAGCGUGGGGAGCGAACAGG
rnacentral:rRNA from 1 species